ensembl:lncRNA TEX41 testis expressed 41
GACCGUGGCUUACUGCAGCUUCAACCUCUCAGGAUUAGAUAUAGGAUAUUGCCAUGUUGUUCGGCUGCUCUCAAGCUCCUGGGUGCAAGCAAUCCAUUUACCUUGGCCUCCCAAAGUGCUGAGAUUACAGAUCUUGCUUUCUUUUGUAUGUUUGCAAAGAAUAUAUAGUACACUUCCUUGAUCUGUGGUUCCUAAAGUGUGAUUCCCAACAAGCAGCAUCAGGAUCAUCUGGAAACUUGAUAGAAAUGUAAAUUCUACAGUCCCUCCUUGGAGCUACAGAUUCAGAAAUUCUGAAGUUUAAGUCCAGCAGUUGGUUAUAAUAAGCUCUCUAGGUGAUUCUGACUUGCACCAAGGCUGGAGUCCAAUGGUGCGAUGUCUGCUUACUGCAACCUCUGCCUCCCGGGUUCAAGCGAUUCUCCUGUCUCAGCCUCCUGAGGAGAUGGGACUACAGGCACCCUUGGAAAUGCAAUGCUACAUCUCAAUGGGAUUUUCCAGUACAAAGAUUCUUUUCAAAUAACAUAAUUGUGGAUACACACCACUCCUACAGUGGUAAACCUCAGGUUCUCCUCCUGCCUUUUGCUAAGUAUAUGU